CCUACGGGGGGCUGCAGUGGGGAAUAUUGGACAAUGGGGGGAACCCUGAUCCAGCCAUGCCGCGUGUGUGAAGAAGGCCCUCGGGUUGUAAAGCACUUUCAGUGAGGAAGAACGCCUGGUGGUUAAUACCCAUCAGGAAAGACAUCACUCACAGAAGAAGCACCGGCUAACUCCGUGCCAGCAGCCGCGGUAAUACGGAGGGUGUGAGCGUUAAUCGGAAUUACUGGGCGUAAAGCGCGCGUAGGUGGCUUGAUAAGCCGGUUGUGAAAGCCCCGGGCUCAACCUGGGAACGGCAUCCGGAACUGUCAAGCUAGAGUGCAGGAGAGGAAGGUAGAAUUCCCGGUGUAGCGGUGAAAUGCGUAGAGAUCGGGAGGAAUACCAGUGGCGAAGGCGGCCUUCUGGACUGACACUGACACUGAGGUGCGAAAGCGUGGGUAGCAAACAGGAUUAGAUACCCGUGUAGUC
rnacentral:rRNA from 1 species